rnacentral:rRNA from 1 species
CAUUGGCUCAACCAANGUAUGCUUUGGAAACUGUUAGACUUGAGUGCAGAAGGGGAGAGUGGAAUUCCAUGUGUAGCGGUGAAAUGCGUAGAUAUAUGGAGGAACACCGGUGGCGAAAGCGGCUCUCUGGUCUGUCACUGACGCUGAGGCUCGAGAGCGUGGGUAGCGAACAGGAUUAGAUACCCUGGUAGUNCACGCCGUAAACGCUGAGUGCUAGGUGUUAGGUCCUUUCCGGGACUUAGUGCCGACGCUAACGCAUUAAGCACUCCGCCUGGGGAGUACGACCGCAAGGUUGAAACUCAAAGGAAUUGACGGGGGCCCGCACAAGCGGUGGAGCAUGUGGUUUAAUUCGAAGCAACGCGAAGAACCUUACCAGGUCUUGACAUCCCGAUGCCCGCUCUAGAGAUAGAGUUUUUCUUCGGAACAUCGGAGACAGGUGGUGCAUGGUUGUCGUCAGCUCGUGUCGUGAGAUGUUGGGUUAAGUCCCGCAACGAGCGCAACCCUUAUUGUUAGUUGCCAUCAUUAAGUUGGGCACUCUAGCGAGACUGCCGGUAAUAAACCGGAGGAAGGUGGGGAUGACGUCAGAUCAUCAUGCCCCUUAUGACCUGGGCUACACACGUGCUACAAUGGUUGGUACAACGAGUCGCAAGCCGGUGACGGCAAGCUAAUCUCUGAAAGCCAAUCUCAGUUCGGAUUGUAGGCUGCAACUCGCCUACAUGAAGUCGGAAUCGCUAGUAAUCGCGGAUCAGCACGCCGCGGUGAAUACGUUCCCGGGCCUUGUACACACCGCCCGUCACACCACGAGAGUUUGUAACACCCAAAGUCGG